CCAACAACUCCGUCAUUCUCAAUCGUCUCCACCGCCACUAUCUUCAUCGCUCACCGUCACCAUUAUCUUUGUCGCCGCCGACACAACCAGCAUGACCACCUCCGUCGCGUCCACCAAGAUUAUAAGCAGAUCUAUUACGAUUAUGCUUUCAAUUUCAAAUGAUUUUAAACCAGGUACAAAGAUUAUUUUUUUUUUGGAUUUCGAUUUGAUAGUUUCGAGCGGAUUACGAGUUAAAGAUUCAUAUCCAGUGAGUUUGAUCUCGAGCUUUGUUCAUUCUGAAACUUAAACUGGAGAUGUCUUGUGAUUGCACUUAGUUGAGGCUACCAAAGUUCAGGUUGGUGCUGAUGAAUUCAAUGUUGACAUGCAGGAGAGGUAAUGAUACUGAUUUUACAAAGUAAGUAUACGAAUAUGUUUAAUAGGAACAGUAAUGGGUAUAAAAGAUUUGUGAAAAAUGAAUGAUUUUUGUUGGGGUCAAGUUUUUCGUUACCAACUCGAAAUGAUUAUGGUAGUAUGCUUUUUUACUACGAUGCAUUUAUCCAAAUAUGCUGUUAAUGCCUGCAUAAGCACACUAUCAAAAUUUAAUCCAUUGGUUGGCCAACAACGAGACAAUUAUUAGGCUGAUUUGGUUGUUCUAAACACCGUUGCGGCUAGGAGGAAGCAUAAGAUGAUGUUGGUGGUUACUGCAAUAAAGGUGGAGGUGCUGGCAGUGACUGAAAUGUGCAGUAUAGAAGUAAAAAUGGAGUUGUUGGUGUUGUUUUCCAUGAAUAUGGAAUUGCAAGUCUGGAUUGUUGUUUAUGAAGCUACAGGUGAUGAUCAAUUGUUGUUGUUUAUAUGUUUUUAUGGGAUCAACUCUUAUUGUUGACCCAAUUUUUUAUGGGAUCAACUACGGCUGUUGAUCCAUUUAUGGGAUGAACUCUUGUUAUUGAUCCAAUUUUAUAUGGGAUCAACUAUUGUUUACCCAUUUUUUUAUGGGAUCAACUACUGUUGUUGAUCCUUUCAACUCCUAUUGUUGACAAUAUU